UACGAGGGAUGCAAGCGUUAUCCGGAAUGAUUGGGCGUAAAGCGUCCGCAGGUGGCUGUGUAAGUCUGCUGUUAAAGAGUCAUGCUCAACAUGAUAAGAGCAGUGGAAACUACACGGCUAGAGUGCGUUCGGGGCAGAGGGAAUUCCUGGUGUAGCGGUGAAAUGCGUAGAGAUCAGGAAGAACACCGGUGGCGAAAGCGCUCUGCUAGGCCGCAACUGACACUGAGGGACGAAAGCUAGGGGAGCGAAUGGG
rnacentral:rRNA from 1 species